UACGAAGGGGGCUAGCGUUGCUCGGAAUCACUGGGCGUAAAGCGCACGUAGGCGGCUUGUUAAGUCAGGGGUGAAAUCCUGGAGCUCAACUCCAGAACUGCCUUUAAUACUGGCGAGCUUGAGUUCGGGAGAGGUGAGUGGAACUGCGAGUGUAGAGGUGAAAUUCGUAGAUAUUCGCAAGAACACCAGUGGCGAAGGCGGCUCACUGGCCCGAUACUGACGCUGAGGCACGAAAGCGUGGGGAGCAAACAGG
rnacentral:rRNA from 1 species